CCUACGGGAGGCUGCAGUGGGGAAUAUUGGACAAUGGGGGGAACCCUGAUCCAGCCAUGCCGCGUGUGUGAAGAAGGCCCUCGGGUUGUAAAGCACUUUCAGUGAGGAAGAACGCCUGGUGGUUAAUACCCAUCAGGAAAGACAUCACUCACAGAAGAAGCACCGGCUAACUCCGUGCCAGCAGCCGCGGUAAUACGGAGGGUGCGAGCGUUAAUCGGAAUUACUGGGCGUAAAGCGCGCGUAGGUGGCUUGAUAAGCCGGUUGUGAAAGCCCCGGGCUCAACCUGGGAACGGCAUCCGGAACUGUCAAGCUAGAGUGCAGGAGAGGAAGGUAGAAUUCCCGGUGUAGCGGUGAAAUGCGUAGAGAUCGGGAGGAAUACCAGUGGCGAAGGCGGCCUUCUGGACUGAAACUGACACUGAGGUGCGAAAGCGUGGGUAGCAAACAGGAUUAGAUACCCUGGUAGUC
rnacentral:rRNA from 1 species